UGGGGAAUCUUCGGCAAUGGGGGCAACCCUGACCGAGCCAUGCCGCGUGAGUGAUGAAGGCCUUAGGGUCGUAAAGCUCUUUCGCCAGGGAUGAUAAUGACAGUACCUGGUAAAGAAACCCCGGCUAACUCCGUGCCAGCAGCCGCGGUAAUACGGAGGGGGUUAGCGUUGUUCGGAAUUACUGGGCGUAAAGCGCGCGUAGGCGGACCAGAAAGUUAGAGGUGAAAUCCCAGGGCUCAACCCUGGAACUGCCUUUAAAACUCCUGGUCUUGAGUUCGAGAGAGGUGAGUGGAAUUCCGAGUGUAGAGGUGAAAUUCGUAGAUAUUCGGAGGAACACCAGUGGCGAAGGCGGCUCACUGGCUCGAUACUGACGCUGAGGUGCGAAAGCGUGGGGAGCAAACAGGAUUAGAUACCCCCGUAGUCC
rnacentral:rRNA from 1 species